GAUGAACGCUGGCGGCGUGCUUAACACAUGCAAGUCGAGCGAAGCGAUUUUAAGGAAGCUUUCGGGUGGAAUUAAAAUUGACUGAGCGGCGGACGGGUGAGUAACGCGUGGGUAACCUGCCUCAUACAGGGGGAUAACAGUUAGAAAUGACUGCUAAUACCGCAUAAGCGCACAGUGCUGCAUAGCACAGUGUGAAAAACUCCGGUGGUAUGAGAUGGACCCGCGUCUGAUUAGGUAGGUGGUAGGGUAACGGCCUACCAAGCCGACGAUCAGUAGCCGACCUGAGAGGGUGACCGGCCACAUUGGGACUGAGACACGGCCCAAACUCCUACGGGGGGCAGCAGUGGGGAAUAUUGGACAAUGGGGGAAACCCUGAUCCAGCGACGCCGCGUGAGUGAAGAAGUAUUUCGGUAUGUAAAGCUCUAUCAGCAGGGAAGAAAAUGACGGUACCUGACUAAGAAGCCCCGGCUAACUACGUGCCAGCAGCCGCCGUAA
rnacentral:rRNA from 1 species